rnacentral:rRNA from 1 species
GACGAACGCUGGCGGCGUGCUUAACACAUGCAAGUCGAACGCAGUGGCGAACGGGUGAGUAAUACGUUAUUAACCUGCCCUCCUUUUUGGGAUAAGCCUUGGAAACGGGGUCUAAUACCGAAUAAAGGGGGUUGGGCUCGCGGCCUAUCAGCGUGUUGGUGGGGUGAUGGCCUACCAAGGCGGUGACGGGUAGCCGGCCUGGGAGGGUGACAGGCGAAAUGGGGACUGGGACACGGUCCAGACGACUACGGGAGGAAGGAGUGGGGGAUAAUGCACAAUGGGCGAAAGCCUGAUGGAGCGACGCAGCGUGGGGGAUGAAGGCUUUUGGGUUGUAAACCUCUUGCGGUAUAGAACGGGUAGGUGGAGAAGAAGCGCCGGCUAACUACGUGCCAGCAGCCGCGGUAAUAC